UCUCCUGUAGGUUACGGGGGUAAACUGUCGAUUUGUGGAGUCGGAGAGUCAUUGGUGUGGCGGGGGAA
rnacentral:tRNA from 1 species